GCGAAAUCAGGUGCAGCGGCGGGGGGAAUACGUAGGGAGGAAGCGUGGUUCGGAAUUACGGGGCGUAAAGAGUGUGUAGGUGGUGCUCUAAGUUUGGUGUGAAAUCUCCCGGCUUAACUGGGAGGGUGCAUCGAAAACUGGAGUGCUUGAGUAUGGGAGAGGUAAGCGGAAUUCCUGGUGUAGCGGUGAAAUGCGUAGAUAUCAGGAGGAACACCUGUGGUGUAGACAGCUUACUGGACCAUCACUGACACUGAGACACGAAAGCGUGGGUAGCAAACAGGAUUAGAUACCCUAGUAGUC
rnacentral:rRNA from 1 species